AGAUUGAACGCUGGCGGCAGGCCUAACACAUGCAAGUCGAGCGGUAGAGAGGUGCUUGCACCUCUUGAGAGCGGCGGACGGGUGAGUAAAGCCUAGGAAUCUGCCUGGUAGUGGGGGAUAACGCUCGGAAACGGACGCUAAUACCGCAUACGUCCUACGGGAGAAAGCAGGGGACCUUCGGGCCUCGCGCUAUCAGAUGAGCCUAGGUCGGAUUAGCUAGUUGGUGAGGUAAUGGCUCACCAAGGCGACGAUCCGUAACUGGUCUGAGAGGAUGAUCAGUCACACUAGGAACUGAGACACGGUCCAGGACUCCUAACGGGAGGCAGCGAAGGUGGGGAAUAGUUGGACAAGUGGGACAAAGCCUAGGAUCCAGCCAAUGCCGCGUGUGUAGAAGAAGGUCUUACGGAUUUGGAACGGCUAACGUUUAAGUUGGGAGGAAGG
rnacentral:rRNA from 1 species